AGUGAACGCUGGCGGUAGGCUUAACACAUGCAAGUCGAACGGCAGCACAGUAAGAGCUUGCUCUUACGGGUGGCGAGUGGCGGACGGGUGAGGAAUACAUCGGAAUCUACUUUUUCGUGGGGGAUAACGUAGGGAAACUUACGCUAAUACCGCAUACGACCUACGGGUGAAAGCAGUGGAUCUUCGGACCUUUCGCGAUUGAAUGAGCCGAUGUCGGAUUAGCUAGUUGGCGGGGUAAAGGCCCACCAAGGCGACGAUCCGUAGCUGGUCUGAGAGGAUGGUCAGCCACACUGGAACUGAGACACGGUCCAGACUCCUACGGGAGGCAGCAGUGGGGAAUAUUGGACAAUGGGCGCAAGCCUGAUCCAGCCAUACCGCGUGGGUGAAGAAGGCCUUCGGGUUGUAAAGACCUUUUGUUGGGAAAGAAAAGCAGCAGGUUAAUACGCCGCUGUUCUGACGGUACCCAAAGAAUAAGCACCGGCUAACUUCGUG
rnacentral:rRNA from 1 species